rnacentral:rRNA from 1 species
UACGUAGGGGGCAAGCGUUGUCCGGAUUUAUUGGGCGUAAAGGGAGUGUAGGCGGUUUGCUAAGUCUUCUGUGAAAUCUACGGGCUCAGCCUGUAACGUGCAGAGGAAACUGACAGACUUGAGUGUCGGAGAGGAUAGUGGAAUUCCCGGUGUAGAGGUGAAAUUCGUAGAGAUCGGGAGGAACACCAGUGGCGAAGGCGACUAUCUGGCUGACAACUGACGCUGAGACUCGAAAGCAUGGGGAGCAAACAGG